UCAAAUAUAGUACAAGUUUGACCACUAAAUAUGUAUAAGUAGUUGUAGUUUGACUAAAUUGAGAUUUCACUCACUUUAAUUUGAAAAAAAAUGCAACUGCAGUUCAACCAGGAAGUAGAGAGAAUCAAUUUGGUUUCAAGAUGAUGUAAUGAAGACAGGUCUUGGAUUUUUGCUUUUGUAAAAUCAACAUGAAAUGCUAUUUUCAAAUUUUAACAAGCAUUUUUAAAAAUUAAACCCAUGUUCUGCAUUUGCGUAACAUUGGUGAUAGAAAGACCAGCAUUUUGUAAAUUGAUAUAUUUUCAUAUUGUUUUCACUUGAGAUAAACCAAUGUGCAUUUUAGGACACAGACAUGUUCAUCAAGACUAUUCUUAACCUCCAAGGUUAACUUGAGUUUAUGAUCAAAUUCGCAUCAAGCAAGCUUAAUGCAAGUGUCUCAAAGAUUUCAAAGGGUAAAACUUGUGUGUGUUAUUAUUGUUUUCUGUCACACAAUGAUGACUGACAAACCAUUACAUUAUCUGCAUACUUUUUAAUUAUCAUAAAUUGUGUUUUCAAUACUCAAAGUAUGACUUGGCACAUAUUGAUGUGCUCAUAGUUGAUAAUUAUGUACAAAACACUGUAUAUGGUAUGCACAUGGCCAUGUCUUGAGUAUCUUUGUAAAAGAAAUCCACCUGAUACUUAUUACUAGUGUCCAUCUAGGUUGUCAGAGGUCCCCUGUGUGUUGGAACUGUGAACCCCAUUCUUAAACUAAUUACCAGUUCUGUAAAGAAGGGUUGGUAAGUCUACAGUGACAUUUGUAAUUAUUCUACAUCAGAUCAAAGACUGGAGUAUUGUACUGGACAGUCAGAACAAAUCUCUUUUCAGUUUAGGUACAGUUUAUCAAAAUGUUUAAGAGUUGUUGAAAUGACUGUAUGGUGUUUUAGGCUUCAGAUUGGAAAAUACAGUCCCUAUAUCAAAGACUACAUGUACUGUUAAAUGUUUUAUAUCUUCAGUGGCUCCACCUCCCCAGUAUUGCAUGGAUAAGCAUACAGUGAUUGCUAAAUGCUUUUGUGGUUGCUUGAUGUGCAGUGUUGCUUAGUGUUGCAUUUUAUGUUUCUAUCAUAAGAUUUUAAAAUAACUAAAUGGUACAUGUGCUGGUAGAUAAAUAUAUGACAGCAAGUCCUUGUUAUGAUAAGUCCCUUUUUAAAUCUUUGCUACAAUAUAAUUCCAAUACAUGUUGAUUUCAACUUGGUUAGUGCUUUUACAUGUAUUACACAUCAGCUGUAUAUUUGUAAACUGCUAUUUAUAUCCAGCAAUAUUUAUAUUCAGAUGUUGAUGUUGUGUCACACACAGAACAGCUUUAAGCAACACCUCCUCAUCACCUCACAUUGUACUUUACACUUGUAAGAUUGCUUUUCUUUUUAAAAAAGAAUGUUGUUUUUUAGACCAACUGAACGGUCGUUGUUGUUGAGUAACUGUUGACUCGUGUUUUAUCUUAGUUCUUUAACUCUGUUCACAACAGAUGUGUUGUUGUUUUCUUUGUCUUGUGUUUUAUUUUAUUAUACGAUCAUGCAUGGUUCUCUAUAAUGCAUUUACAUUUGAUCAUGUUGAUUAUCUUAAUUAAUUAACUACAUGCAGCUCUAGUAAAUGAAUUAUGAAGAUGCAACAUGAAGAUGUAACCGCUGAGUGUCACAGCUCUUGAGAAUCCUAAGCCAAACUACCUGUAUGCUCAUCAUCAAUUUCAUUCAGUAUUUUCAGCUUAAUAUCACUUUACAUGGAUUUCAUUUUAUAAAGCAAUUUUCAACUCGACAAGAGUUUUUGGUGUUAAUUUCGCAAAAUUAUAUAUCACGCGCACUAAACCUAAAAUUCCAUGUAAUGUACAUGAAUAAUGUAGUACUACAUUGAUUUCAUGAGAUAUUUUCUCGUGUUAUUUAUUAUAUCAUCGUAUUGUUCUUUUUUAUGUAUAAUAUAUAAAUAUGCGUUAAGUCAUUCACGUGAAAUUACACGUGAUGCUCACUGGUUCAUGAUGUCUUUCAUCCUGUUAUUACAGCAAAAUCUUUUCUGAAACAUUUCUUUAAGCAGAUGAUCAAACUUGGUGUAAAGUAUGGAUGCAGUUUAAGUGCGUCGUUUUAGCUUUGUAUGAUUCACAGUUGUAAUCGGGCUUAGUGACUAUGUUGUAUGUACAUCACUAUUUAAGGCUGUAUAUAGUUAAAUCUUGACAACCAACAAGUUAAUGUAUUAAUACCUCUGUAAACAAUCAAUGCCACUGAUUACUAGCAUGUCAAGUUUUCUCUCGACAAGAAGAGAGUGUUCAUCGAAUGAGUCUUGUAAUCAAACUGUGUCAAAUGGUGUUAUUGUGUCUUCUACGCCACCGUAUUUAUUAAAGUCUUUCGUACACAG
rnacentral:sRNA from 1 species